AGAGUGUAGUGGAGGCAGGUAGCCUAUUGGUCAGAGUGUAGAGGAGGCAGGUAGCCUAUUGGUCAGAGUGUAGAGGAGGCAGGUAGCCUAUUGGUCAGAGUGUAGAGGAGGCAGGUGGCCUAUUGGUCAGAGUGUAGAGGAGGCAGGUAGCCUAUUGGUCAGAGUGUAGAGGAGGCAGGUAGCCUAUUGGUCAGAGUGUAGAGGAGGCAGGUAGCCUAUUGGUCAGAGUGUAGAGGAGGCAGGUAGCCUAUUGGUUAGAGUGUAGUGGAGGCAGGUAGCCUAUUGGUCAGAGUGUAGAGGAGGCAGGUAGCCUAUUGGUCAGAGUGUAGAGGAGGCAGGUAGCCUAUUGGUUAGAGUGUAGAGGAGGCAGGUAGCCUAUUGGUCAGAGUGUAGAGGAGGCAGGUAGCCUAUUGGUCAGAGUGUAGAGGAGGCAGGUAGCCUAUUGGUCAGAGUGUAGAGGAGGCAGGUGGCCUAUUGGUCAGAGUGUAGAGGAGGCAGGUAGCCUAUUGGUCAGAGUGUAGAGGAGGCAGGUGGCCUAUUGGUCAGAGUGUAGAGGAGGCAGGUAGCCUAUUGGUCAGAGUGUAGAGGAGGCAGGUAGCCUAUUGGUUAGAGUGUAGAGGAGGCAGGUAGCCUAUUGGUCAGAGUGUAGAGGAGGCAGGUAGCCUAUUGGUUAGAGUGUAGAGGAGGCAGGUAGCCUAUUGGUCAGAGUGUAGAGGAGUCAGGUAGCCUAUUGGUUAGAGUGUAGUGGAGGCAGGUAGCCUAUUGGUUAGAGUGUAGAGGAGGCAGGUAGCCUAUUGGUUAGAGUGUAGAGGAGGCAGGUAGCCUAUUGGUCUGAGUGUAGAGGACUCAGGUCGCCUAUUGGUUAGAGUGUAGAGGAGGCAGGUAGCCUAUUGGUUAGAGUGUAGAGGAGGCAGGUAGCCUAUUGGUUAGAGUGUAGAGGAGGCAGGUAGCCUAUUGGUUAGAGUGUAGAGGAGGCAGGUAGCCUAUUGGUCAGAGUGUAGAGGAGGCAGGUAGCCUAUUGGUUAGAGUGUAGAGGAGGCAGGUAGCCUAUUGGUCAGAGUGUAGAGGAGGCAGGUAGCCUAUUGGUCAGAGUGUAGAGGAGGCAGGUAGCCUAUUGGUUAGAGUGUAGAGGAGGCAGGUAGCCUAUUGGUCAGAGUGUAGAGGAGGCAGGUAGCCUAUUGGUUAGAGUGUAGAGGAGGCAGGUAGCCUAUUGGUCAGAGUGUAGAGGACUCAGGUAGCCUAUUGGUUAGAGUGUAGA